CCUACGGGUGGCAGCAGUGAGGAAUAUUGGUCAAUGGGCGCGAGCCUGAACCAGCCAAGUAGCGUGAAGGAUGACUGCCCUACGGGUUGUAAACUUCUAUUAUAAAAGAAUAAAGUGAGGCACGUGUGCCUAUUUGUAUGUACUUUAUGAAUAAGGUUCGGCUAACUCCGUGCCAGCAGCCGUGGUAAUAUGGAGGAUCCGAGCGUUAACCGGAUGUAUUGGGUUUAAAGGGAGCGUAGAUGGGUUGUUAAGUCAGUUGUGAAAGUUUGCGGCUCAACCGUAAAAUUGCAAAUGAUACUGGAAGCCGUGAGUACAGUUGAGGUAGGCGGAAUUCGAAGUGUAGCGGGGAAAUGCUUAGAUAUCACGAAGAACUCCGAUUGCGAAGGCAGCCUACUAAACUGCCACUGACAUUGAUGCUCGAAAGUGUGGGUAUCAAACAGGAUUAGAUACCCCAGUAGUC
rnacentral:rRNA from 1 species